GGAACCCGGAUCGAGGCCGCGCGCGCCGCGGUCGCGGGGCUGGCGGAGGGGAAGCUGGGUACCCUCUUCUGUGCCUGCGGUUCUCUGACCCACCCACCUGCAGACGCAGGGUGGGGCGCUCACAGUGGGCACGCUGCUCUGGGGCCGGUGGGCGGAUGGUUGGAAGGCGAGGCCGAGGAGCUGGGAGCGCGGUCCACGCGGGGCGUCUCGAGGCGCCCUCGGGCUGAUGUCCUUGGCUCGCCUCCUCGCCCUCGGUCGCCCGGGCUGCGCUCUGCAUCCUAAUCUGGCUCCUUCAGAGCCCCCCUCAGAAACCAAGGGGAGGAAUUCCGCAGUUCACUUCCCACACAACCCAAAUCCUUCAUCUGUCGCCUCGGGAACACCGCAUCCUACACCCCCUGCCGCCAGCUCCUUCGCACGCCAGCCCCGAUUCUUCCCCAGCGGGUUCUGGGCCCUGACGAGGGAACCCCCCUCGCGGGGGGGAGGGAGAAGAGUUGAUUUUAUUAUUAAUAGCUGACGCAGCGCUUGAUAGGUGUCUGCAGGGCAGUCACAGUUCACGCCGCUGGAGCUGCCACACAGCAGCUAGACUUGGGCUAGGAGGUGCUUCGCUGUGGCUUUCAGAUGAAGGCCAUUUCAUAGACUCACUUCCCUCGACAGGAGAAAAGGGGACUUGAAUCCAAAGCUGCUCUUAAACCACAGAUGAUUUGCUCUGCUCGGGAGGACAAAGCGCAGGUCACAGCAAGAUAAAGGGAAUUUUGCCAAUAUAAAGAAGCUACAUUACUUAACAAGGGGAUGGGAAAUUGCAUGGAAUUCAUGAACAAAACAUGAACAUAUUCUCUUCACAAAGAAGAGCAGCUUUCUUCACGGAGUAGGUUGCAGAAUGAAGCAAUUAGUCCACUUUUGUGUUUAACAAUAACGCACCAUCCGCAUGAGCAAAAGCAGAGCAGAAAAAUCACCUCAGUUGUCUCAAGUGGCUGGGCUUCAGGACUUAAGAUAAAUUCCUUCAGCAGAUGCAAAUUACAGUGCAUCACCAGCUGAAAAAAUCAGGCACGUCAUGUCAUUUAAUUAUUUCCAAGGAGUGGACGUUGGCAUGUAGUUUUGAUUGAUACUUGGAAAAGAACCAACAAAACCCUACACGAAACAAACAAACAAAAAAUUAUACUAUAUGGCAACGCACUGAGAGAAGCCAGGUGGAAACUGGUUAGGUCACAGGAUCAGAGCCGCUUCAAGAGGGGCACGACCGAUAGAAGCACUGCAGGCAGGAGAAGGAUGGUUUACCUUUCUCAGCCUGGAAAUUAGCUUAGGCAUUUGAUGUUGAAUAUUCUGUGCCACUGUCACUGCUUGGGGUUGUAAGCACCUCUGGUGCAAUUAUGAGCUUCUGGAGGAGUUCCUGACCUCAGCCUUUGUAUGGAAUGCUCUUCCCACAGAUCUUCUUCACUUGUGUCGUUCUCUUUCCAUUCAGAUCGCAGCUUACAUGUCCCCUCCUCAGAGAUGUCUUUGCUGUCUAAAGUGGCUACCCAGCCACAGUGGCUCACGUCUGUAAUCCCAGCAUUUUGGGAGGCUGAGGCAGGAGGAUCCCUUGAGCCCAGGAGUUUGAGACCAGCCUGGGCAAUAUAGCGAGACUCCAUCUCUACUAAAAAAAAAAAAGAAAAAAAUUAGCUGGGCGUGGUGGCCUGAACCUUUAGUCCCAGCUACUCAGGAGGCUAAAGAGAGAGGAUCGCUUGAACCCAGGAGGUCAAGACUGCAGUGAUCUGUGAUCACGCCACUGCACUCCAGCCUGAGCAACAACAGAGUGAGACCUUGUCUCAAAAAAAAAAUUAAAUAAUAAAUAAAUUAAAAAGUGGCUACUCUCGGCAAUUCACCUUCCAUCACAUUUUUCAGUUUUCUUUUCUUCUUUUUUUUCCUUUGAGACAGAGUCUCUCUCUGUCACCCAGGCUGGAGGACAGCAGCACAAUCCCAGCUCACCACAACCUCGGCCUCCUGGGUUCAAGCAGUUCUUGUGCCUCCGCCUCC
rnacentral:lncRNA from 10 species